rnacentral:rRNA from 1 species
AUUGAACGCUGGCGGCAUGCCUUACACAUGCAAGUCGAACGGCAGCACGGGAGCAAUCCUGGUGGCGAGUGGCGAACGGGUGAGUAAAGUAUCGGAACGUGCCCAGUCGUGGGGGAUAACGUAGCGAAAGUUACGCUAAUACCGCAUACGAUCUAUGGAUGAAAGCGGGGGAUCGCAAGACCUCGCGCGAUUGGAGCGGCCGAUAUCAGAUUAGGUAGUUAGUGGGGUAAAGGCUCACCAAGCCGACGAUCUGUAGCUGGUCUGAGAGGACGACCAGCUACACGGGGACUUAGACACGGCCCAGACUCCUACGGGAGGCAGCAGUGGGGAAUUUUGGACAAUGGGCGAAAGCCUGAUCCAGCCAUGCCGCGUGCAGGAUGAAGGCCUUCGGGUUGUAAACUGCUUUUGUACGGAACGAAAAGGUUUGGCCUAAUAAGCUGAGCUCAUGACGGUACCGUAAGAAUAAGCACCGGCUAACUACGUGCCAGCAGCCGCGGUAA